rnacentral:rRNA from 1 species
UACGGAGGGGGCUAGCGUUGUUCGGAAUUACUGGGCGUAAAGCGCACGUAGGCGGCUUUGUAAGUUAGAGGUGAAAGCCCGGGGCUCAACUCCGGAAUUGCCUUUAAGACUGCAUCGCUAGAAUUGUGGAGAGGUAAGUGGAAUUCCGAGUGUAGAGGUGAAAUUCGUAGAUAUUCGCAAGAACACCAGUGGCGAAGGCGGCUCACUGGCCCGAUACUGACGCUGAUGCACGAAAGCGUGGGGAGCAAACAGG